UAUUUGAUCAUUCUAGUAAAUUGGAUGUCUGCAUAUGCAUUUUGCACCUAAACAAUCAAUUUGUUUAUAUUUAGGUGAAGGAAACGAAAGAGAGUUUGGUGGCAAUGAAGAAGGAAUUUUGUCUCACCAUUUUAGGACAUUAAAACUUUUUAAAAGAUUUGCUUUUCAAAUAUGUAAAUAUUUCAUAUUUCCAUACAUUGUACUGAGUCAGAUCCUAAGACCUUUGCUUCUUUGCUAAUUGCUAUGUAUCGAUGCCGAGCCCAAAUCCUAAAUUGAUUGCACGUAUGUACCCCUAUCUUAAACCAAGAAAUACAUGGUGUCGUCCUAACACGACGAAAUUGCGUGG
rnacentral:lncRNA from 1 species